UGAUUAGUGGCAUCCUCUCCUUUAAGAAAAUGUGUCCCACAGCUUGACGGAUGCAUUGCCUCCACCAGCAACUGCUAGAAUGGCACACUGAAAGAGAUCAAAUGCAUUCAGUGGAGCUGGGAUUGGCGUUGAAUGGGAUGUAUUUGGCGAAGAAGCCAUGUUUGUGGGUGGAGUUGUGGUGGCGAGCUUCGUCGCAGAUAUUCUCAUCGGCGGGGCGGCGGUGCUUCAGGACCGUCGAAGGAGAUGAGGGUUUGUUGGUAUUUGAGUGGUUAGGCGAAGAAGCACAUUUUAUGAUGAUAGGGUGGUUGUAGACUCUACCAUUUCGAUGGAUGGGUUUUGGUUUUUUCCGGAGAGAGCAAGGAGAAGCCUGAAACAAUGAACACACUGCAACGAUAUCCACAAUGGUAUAGACACUCCACACGUAUGCUAAUAGUAUGUGAUGGCGCACACCCCUCGUUCUCUUUCUCCCCUUUCCUCUCCGCACGUAUCAACACUUCCACUUUCUAGUAUGAUGUUGUAAACAAAUGAAAUUUCCGUAGUAGAUAUUUAAAGUCCUAUUAAUGUUGUUUAUCUUAAUUUAUACAAUUGUUAAGGUAGUCUUUCUUUC